rnacentral:tRNA from 1 species
UGGGAUGCUACAUUGUUAA